GACUCUCAGCUCUAUUUACUUCAUAUUACAACUUUAACCUCCAAUAUCAAGAAGAAGCCGCAUGCACCCUUGAGUUUGUGCAAAGGCGCUUCAUUGACAUCAACCCAGAACGGGGAUCCAAAGCCAAGCAGGGAAAAGUGGUAUCCAAAAAAACUGGCAAAGUUGUCCAAAAAAAGAACAAUGCUGUGAAUCCUCAUGUUUCCUCACUGCUUCGAAAGUUGAUGGACUUUGAAUGGGAUUUUGUGUAAGGCAUAUAAAGGACACAAUUUUCUUUUUCCAGUUCAAGCUUAAAAGUGGUGCUGUCCUUUGUUUUGUUGUAUCAUUUUGUUUAAGUUCUGAAUCACUAUACCAUGCUAAGUGAAAGAAAAAUAGAUUGAAGGAUAGCUAAACAUAGCUGUAUUGUGCUUAGUGAAAGAAAAAUUAUGUUAAAGAUAUCUAAACAUAGUUUAAAGAUGGUAAAAUGUAAACUAUUUUAAACAGCAUUCUAAAAAAUAAAUGUUUAAUAAGAA